UACGGGGGAGCAAGCGUUGUUCGGAUUUACUGGGCGUAAAGGGCGCGUAGGCGGCCACCGCAAGUCGAUUGUGAAAUCUCCGGGCUUAACCCGGAAAGGUCAACCGAUACUGCGGGGCUAGAGUGCAGAAGGGGCAACUGGAAUUCUCGGUGUAGCGGUGAAAUGCGUAGAUAUCGAGAGGAACACCUGCGGCGAAGGCGGGUUGCUGGGCUGACACUGACGCUGAAGUGCGAAAGCUAGGGGAGCGAACGGG
rnacentral:rRNA from 1 species